AUAGCCUAAAGAACAUUGUUCAGUUGUUAGUUUUAAAAAAUUGUAGUCAUUUUUCAAAGGACUGUGUAGCCCUGGUACACGAGGCUAGUCCUGAACUGGUGUGAAUUAACAUAAAUGUCCAUUUCAAUUGAGCUAUUCCACUUUACACUAGCUGACUUCCCAAACAAAUUUGUAUUGUUUAGUGGAAAAGAAAACCUUAAGAAAAACAAGGUUCUUCAGAGGGGGACAUCGCAUCGAAGACAGACCCCUGUCAUCCUCCAAAAUGCAUGCAAGAGAAAAUUGCUUGGUUCAAGAGGAACCUCAUGGAGCUCAAAUGCCAAGUGAACAUGUGAAAUACCAGGUUUUUAAGUGGAGUUUGCACAGCUGUCAUGCUGGUUUAACUUCAGCCACAACUCUGAAUAACAGGAAAACAGAACUUUGCAUGGAAACUGCUUUUCUGGCCUUUGGCAGAAUACACCAGACAAGAAGACGUCGCCUGAGAUUGACAACUACAUAAACAAAAUUUGCAAUGUGAAACAUGAAACUAUGUGAGAAGAAUACAAUAUAAAUCCACAAGGAGAUAGAAAGUAUGUGAAAGCCUUUUGCUGCUGGUGGCAAAAAAAAGAAACAACAUGUUGGACGUGAAUGUAAGCAAAUGUUUUAAGGUAAGUACAUGUUUCUGGGGAGAGCCUGGUGCUCCCAUCAGGCUUUACAGAUUGAUUCAUUUCAAUCCUGUUGACACAAUAGAGACUAAAUCCCUCAUACUUUGGUUUGAAUUCAUGCAUUUACCUCAUAUUUACUCAUUUUGAAAAUACUGAUUCUCACACAAAGUCCUGGAAUUUUUUCUCUAAGAGACUGUUUCAAAACAGACAAGACAGAGAAAAACAUUCAGAUUUUAGACAUAUUUUGUUGUGUUCAGGAUUUCCUUAAAUGAUUGUCUGCUUCAUUCCUGACAUGCCUGUUUGUUCGCCAACCAUGAGCAAAGACAUUGUGUAGUCAAUCCUGCUUCUUUUCCAUUUGCACUUAUUCAUAUUCUGAUAAACUGGACUGGUUGCCUUUAUAGCAAAAUAAGACUAUAUAAAAUAGUCUCGAAUGCUUUACUUCAGAGACCUAAUAUGUAAACAGGGUGUAAAAGAAAGCUUCUUUAAUUCCAAGAAAUAUAGCUAGUCUUGGCUUUCUUGCAUGUCCUUAACUGAAAUGAAGCUGAGACAAUCAAAGAAAGAAAUUUCAGCUUCAGCAGGAUAUGUUGAUGACAUCAGAUUUUUUAGUGUCUUUGAACCAGAACUAUUUAGAAUUUUAUCAACUGCGAUGAAGAUCAGAAUUAAUUUCUCACCAUUGAUGGUGAUAUCUGAAUUUUUAUUUCAAGUGACAAUUUACAAAAAUGUAGAGCUUUAGCACACAGAUCAUCUCAUAAACUUAAGGGUGGCUGUUCACAUGCUUAAGCUGUCACACACUGAGUCAUUGGGUAUUAUUUUACUUCAAGAAAGAUCAGGAAAAAACACUUCUCAAAACCUCAAAUUCAAGAAGUAAAAAAGAUCCUUAAAGCAACAUUAAAAUAUAUGGAAAAGGAUUUUAAUCAAAAAUUUACUAAUGCUAUUCAGAUAUAUUUAAAUUUACUUCAAUAUGAUGUUGAAUCAAGCCCAUAUUGCUGAGCUAUGUAAAAAAUUUCUUGACCUAUUAAUUGAUUCAUCACUUAAUUACAACUUUGUUAGUUCCUUUGUUAUUAUAUAGUUUCUCCUGAUUUAUACCAGCAGGUCAACACCCCAUGUUAUCACUGUUUUGGUCUAUGUGUCCUAGUUAUGUGUAGGUACCUGAAAAAUCAACCAUAGCUUAAAACCCACAGACAUUACAAAGGUUAUCACUAACUUUUAGGAGCAGUGGAAUCCACAGAUUGUGUGUUGCCUUCUCUUGAAAACAGACUGGGUUUGAGCUCUUCUGAUGAAAUUGUUUAUCACUCUGGGAUCACCUUUUCCCACCAACCUUUGCUAUAGUACCAUCAUCUGUGUAUCUGGUGCCACUGAAUUUGAGUUAGUCUUCAGUUACACUACCAACAGGAUGAGAUAAAUUAAAUCAAUAUUCUCCUCCUUACAGAUUAAUUUAGCAAUUCAUGGCAGUUGUAGACAUUCUUUCCUUUGCCCAGUUCUAAACUACACUCCAUCACAGUAUUCUGCUUGGCUUUUGAAUUAAUAUAACUUAAUUUGUGAGCAACGACUCCUUCUGUCUUAAUGAAAUCUUUCAGUUUUUGAUUUCAAUUCUAUUGCAUAGUCUGGGCAUCUUUACCCACUACCAGUGAACUUUGUUUCAGAUAUCAAAAUGCAGAGUAAAAACCAUACAACCUAAAAGUGUUUCAGUUGUAGUUCUAAUGCCUAAAUGAGUUCUUUUGAUUAUUUUUUUAAGAAAGACUAUCUUUAGUUAAUUAGAAUUCAAGUUUAUGCAAAAUAUUUUCAUACCAUCAUGUUGUACUGAAUGAAAACAUGAGGGCUUUUAUUCUGGCUGAAAAGAUGCCAGCAGGAGCAAACUAAUGAGCCCCAAAAAGAGAACAUUUGUACAGCUGGAGUCUGAAUGUUAGCAAAAGCUGCUUGUUUUUGAUUGACACUGUAAAAGUCAUGGUGGUGGAAAGUGAUCAAUAAUACUCCCUCUGUGACAAUGUAAA